AACGAACGCUGGCGGCAUGCCUAACACAUGCAAGUCGAACGAGACCUUCGGGUCUAGUGGCGCACGGGUGCGUAACGCGUGGGAACCUGCCCUUAGGUUCGGGAUAACUCCCCGUAAGGGGUGCUAAUACCGGAUAAUGUCUUCGGACCAAAGAUUUAUCGCCUUUGGAUGGGCCCGCGUUGGAUUAGCUAGUUGGUAGGGUAAAAGCCUACCAAGGCGACGAUCCAUAGCUGGUCUGAGAGGAUGAUCAGCCACACUUGGACUGAGCCACGGCCGAGACUCCUACGGGAGGAAGGAGUGGGGAAUACUGGAAAAUGGCCGAAAGCAUGAUCCCGUUAUGCCGCGUAAGUGCUGAAGGCCUUAGAGUUGUGAAGCUCUUUUACACGGGAUGAUAAUGACAGUACCGGGAGAAUAAGCUCCGGCUAACUCCGUG
rnacentral:rRNA from 1 species